rnacentral:lncRNA from 1 species
UAAAAAGUAAUUAAUAAACUAUCAUCUUAUCGUUAAUGCUUCAUCACUAAAUAGAAUGCCAUGUAAACGAAUAUUGAAAAUGUUCAUUAUUUGAUCGACAAUCUUUCCAUUUACAAAUCGUAUGCAAUUCUCGCUGGAAUGAAGAAUUCUGGCAAAUUGUCCUUGCGCUGGUGGACGCUUCCACCGCAAAUGAAUAUAUAAUAUUUUAUUUAUUAUCAUAGUGUGAAUAUAUAAUAUAUAUAUAUAUAUAUUACUACUUGUAUAUCAGUAAUGAUUGUGUAAAAUUCAAGUGGGUUCUAUGGCAUUUUACACUUUUACGUUUGCAGACUAAAAAGAGUUCCUGUCGACCGACUGUCUGGUUGGUGUAGUUCAGGAUCAUUUUAUUGCCAGCCGGAUACAAAGAUUUAACUAAUAUUUUAAUUGUGAACGGACGGCAACCGAAAUUAAUGCGAAUAUCGGCAUGAUUUUCGACGGACAAUACAGAAAGCGAGCCGCUCUUUUUCCGGAGGUUGACACUUACAUUCGUGUCGUACGAUUCUUUCGCUGAAAACGGAGGACUCCAGCAAAUCGUUUUCGCGCUGGUGAACAUGUCAAGACCCCCCAAUUCCGAAAUAGCGCUCGUCAAAAGCGAUGACUGUCCACGACUGUUCACCCAGCUACAAACUUUAUUCGACUGUCCUUUCUACAUUACAACGAAUUGUCUUCCUAACUGCGGCGACCAAAACCACUGUGCAUACAGAAGAUCUCACAUUUUCCGAACCCGGUCCCUUAGUCACAAUUACCCAAAACCGACCCGUGGAUCUACGACUGUUUGUAAUUAAUAUAUAUAACACGUAUUAUUUUCUUGUUUAUUAUUAUCUUUUCUUGUUUAUUAUUAUAUUUUCUUGUUUAUUAUUAUAUUUUCUUGUUUAUUAUUAUAUUUUCUUGUUUAUUAUUAUAUUUUCUUGUUUAUUAUUCUAUUUUCUUGUUUAUUAUUCUAUUUUCUUGUUUAUUAUAUUUUCUUGUUUAUUAUUCCAAAACCACUGUGCAUACAGAAGAUCUCACAUUUUCCGAACCCGGUCCCUUAGUCACAAUUACCCAAAACCGACCCGUGGAUCUACGACUGUUUGUAAUUAAUAUAUAUAACACGUAAAUAUUUUCUUGUUUAUUAUUAUCUUUUCUUGUUUAUUAUUAUAUUAUGUUUUUGUCGGCAAUCCAUGUCGCGAGACAAAAUUUGGAAGCAGACGGUCUGAAGUGUGAAGUCCAUAGCUUUUGAAGUCAACUUCACUCACAAUAGCGUCAACUUUCAUCCAAUAAACAUCAAGUUCGAGAGGAACAGUGCAACUUGGGUGCAAUUAAAAUGAUUUCUACUUGCAGGAUUUUGCAUGUUUAAUUAAUUACAUAUAAAACCGGGACACGAGGAUAUGUGCGGUCUCUUCUUGCUUCUUCUGUCUCAACCAGUUGGUUUUAGCAAUGUCGGGAACUCGAUUGCCUUCACGGCAACUUAAUUCGACGAGAGUCAAGAACUCGCUUCAUGCGAAUAUUCUUGGUGAACAUUUUUUUUGAAAGAAAUUACCAAUGUUUUAAUUACAGACAGGGGGGGUGCUGCGGGUUGAAGGCUCCCAGAAAAGACAAUUACAACGCAAUUUUUCCUGCCGUCGCUUAUUUUAUUCCCAAAGCGAGGAAACCAUCUUCCGAACAUUCCACGACGCAGACACUGAAACUGACGUCGUCCCAUUAAAUCACGAAAAUGUAGGGACGGCGAAAUUCUGCUCUCGCUGUUUUUAAUGUUGUCAAAGACCACAAUUAACAACUGCUUUGCAACGAAAUGGUCGCAGUCAGUAACGGUAAUGGUAGUCAACGUAUUCUUAUGAGCUAUAUUAUCCUAAAAAUGUCCUUUUUACUUUUUACAGGGAUACAUAUAUGCAAGACCGGCAAAUUCCCAAAUUACUUUUGUUAAGGCGAUGCCUGUCAACGAUUAUUUGAAUAUCAUGCUUGGGAACGAUGGUGUCCGUGAGAUUAUCCUUAGAAAUUUUUCAGAGCUGCAACGAAUCCUGUCGGAGGAUACCUGUCACUUCGUACAGCAGAUCAGUGACUUCGACCUGGAUGUAAUCGAAGUGUCGAAUGGGUGUGCAUUUCGGAUUUCUACAAGACAAUUCUUCCUAUUUCGAAAGGAAGACUUUCGUGGAAAAGUCUACAGACUUUUUCACAGGGAUAUGUUUACGCCAGAGAAAAUAAUUCAAUGAUAACCUACACCAAAUCCAUGACAGUUCAUCAAUACCUGGACAUGAUGCUUGCAAAUGAUGCUG